CAAAGGUCAUCGCAGGCAGCGUGCGGGAUGCGGCGCUCGGUCUCAUUGCAGUUCAUCCCAUCGGCCUCAGCCCAGCGAUCCAACCCACCCGCACCCUUCCUGAGGGCCCUUCUGCUCCCAGGCCAAUCAACGCUUCCUUCUGAUGCCAUCUGCGUUCCUUCCAGGCCAUUUUCAGACUCCUGCCCCUUUGUGGCCAUUUUGAGAGUUGCUCUGAUUUCAGCAUGUGCAUUCAAUUGACUUCAACCAAAUUGGCUUUAGCUUUACAUUCAAUUGACUUCAACCAAAUUGGCUUUGCUUUACAUUCAAUUAAUGUAAACCAAAUUGGCUUUAGUUUUACAUUCAAUUGACUUCAACCAAAUUGGCUUUAGCUUUACAUUCAAUUAAUGUAAACCAAAUUGGCUUUAGCUUUGCCUUGGUUACGGGGUUGGGCUAGCCUUGCUUUGUUUGUUCCUAGGCAGGGCUACCCCAACCCCGUAACCAAGGGCCGUUGGAGGCGAUUUUGUUCCUUCCCGGCCAGUCUGAGACUCGCGCCCCAUUGCGGCCAUUUUGAGAGUUGUGCUGAUUUCAGCAUGUGCGUUCAAUUUAUCUCAACCGAAUUGGCUUUAGCCUUGCAUUCAAUUGGCUUCAACCAAAUUGGCUUUAGCUUUGCAUUCAAUUGACUUGAACCAAAUUGGCUUUGGUUUUGCAUUCAAUUGGCUUCAACCAAAUUGGCUUUAGCUUUACAUUCGAUUAAUGUAAGCCAAAUUGGCUUUAGCUUUGCCUUGGUUACGGGGUUGGGCUAGCCUUGCUUUGUUUGCUCCUAGGCAGGGCUACCCCAACCCCGUAACCAAGGGCCGUCGGAGGCGAUUUUGUUCCUCCCGGCCAGUCUGAGACUCGCGCCCCUUUGUGGCCGUUCUGAGAAUUGCAAUGUCUUUGGGUGGGCUGAGAUCUGCACUGCUUUUGAGGUGGGUUGCAGUAUGCAACAUUCUCACAAGUGUGGUGUCACUAAUGGGGUGUGGAGGCUUUGUACCCUUUCUCUGGUUGGUCUGACAUCUAUGUGAACCAUGUCUUAAAGUGUACUGCGUAUGCGUGUGCUGCGCCUGUAAAUUGCGUCGUGCCAUAUAUGCAAUAUGUGUUAAGUUGCGCCUGUAAACUGUGUUGUGCCAUGUACAGAAUGUGUGGAUGCUGCGCCUAUAAACUAAGUCUUGGAAUCAGAGAUCCAUAUUCAUUACAUGUUUUGCUUCUCAAUGUGUAGUUGCUGGUAUAGCACGUAUGUAUAUGAUUGUAUGAGUCAUGCCUUGUGGAAACAGCGCUGUAAUAAACAAACAGUUAAACAAU